UUUCAUGUGUGAUUUUUUUAGUUUGGACAAUUCCUAGAAAAUAUCAUAUUUUAUAUAAGUUCAUUAUUAUAUCUUUUAAUAUCCUUAACUUUUUAUUUGAAAUACAAAUGAAUAUAUUUAAAAUGUUCUAACAAAAUCUUUUUAAAAUCUUUCUUAGAAUCUUUUUAAAUUUACUUUCAAAAAUUAGUUAGUUUUAAUUUAUAUUAUCAUAAAAUAUAAUU
rnacentral:lncRNA from 1 species